rnacentral:rRNA from 1 species
CCUACGGGCGGCAGCAGUGAGGAAUAUUGGUCAAUGGGCGCGAGCCUGAACCAGCCAAGUAGCGUGAAGGAUGACUGCCCUACGGGUUGUAAACUUCUUUUAUAAAGGAAUAAAGUGAGGCACGUGUGCCUUUUUGUAUGUACUUUAUGAAUAAGGAUCGGCUAACUCCGUGCCAUCAGCCGCGGUAAUACGGAGGAUCCGAGCGUUAUCCGGAUUUAUUGGGUUUAAAGGGAGCGUAGAUGGGUUGUUAAGUCAGUUGUGAAAGUUUGCGGCUCAACCGUAAAAUGGCAAUUGAUACUGGCAGUCUUGAGUACAGUUGAGGUAGGCGGAAUUCGUGGUGUAGCGGUGAAAUGCUUAGAUAUCACGAAGAACUCCGAUUGCGAAGGCAGCUUACUAAACUGCCACUGACAUUGAUGCUCGAAAGUGUGGGUAUCAAACAGGAUUAGAUACCCUGGUAGUC